GACGAACGCUGGCGGCGUGCUUAACACAUGCAAGUCGAACGGAAAGGCCCUGCUUUUGUGGGGUGCUCGAGUGGCGAACGGGUGAGUAACACGUGAGUAACCUGCCCUUGACUUUGGGAUAACUUCAGGAAACUGGGGCUAAUACCGGAUAGGAGCUCCUGCUGCAUGGUGGGGGUUGGAAAGUUUCGGCGGUUGGGGAUGGACUCGCGGCUUAUCAGCUUGUUGGUGGGGUAGUGGCUUACCAAGGCUUUGACGGGUAGCCGGCCUGAGCGGGUGACCGGCCACAUUGGGACUGAGAUACGGCACAGACUCCUACGGGAGGCAGCAGUGGGGAAUAUUGUACAAUGGGAGGAAGCCUGAUGCAGCAACGCCGCGUGCGGGAUGACGGCCUUCGGGUUGUAAACCGCUUUCGCCUGUGACGAAGCGUGAGUGACGGUAAUGGGUAAAGAAGCACCGGCUAACUACGUG
rnacentral:rRNA from 1 species